ACCUACGGGGCGCAGCAGCCGCGGUAAUACGGAGGAUGCGAGCGUUAUCCGGAUUUAUUGGGUUUAAAGGGUGCGUAGGCGGAAUGCCAAGUCAGCGGUAACAUCGCGGGGCUCAACCUCGCUCCGCCGUUGAAACUGGCGUUCUUGAGUGGGCGAGAAGUAUGCGGAAUGCGUGGUGUAGCGGUGAAAUGCAUAAAUAUCACGCAGAACUCCGAUUGCGAAGGCAGCAUACCGGCGCCCAACUGACGCUGAAGCACGAAAGCGUGGGUAUCGAACAGGGUUAGAUACCCUAGUAGUCCUAAGAU
rnacentral:rRNA from 1 species